rnacentral:lncRNA from 1 species
GAGAGAGGCUGAGGAGUACGUACCAAGGGACAGUUUGUGAGACUCUGGUAGGUCCGUGACUGAGGGCACCCUUGUGGGAUGCUGAGUGUAGCCAUCAGGAAGCUGGGUCCCAGCCAACUCAGCCUGGGCUCUGCCGUUCUCCAGUGGUCAGAUAAGAAAGAGCGGUGUGGUCCUCUAAGGGAGUGAGCGAGCCCCUCCCUCCCCACUGCUGAUAUAACAGCAUGAAAUUAAACCUAUUCCAGUCUGUGACAUCUGAUCCCUUUGACAUGACAUAGUACAACCUGUAGAGCCAGAGGUGGGGGCCAGGAAGCCCUGUUCUAGUCUCUCUGCACAACCUUGAGCCAUCUCAUCAUCUGCACAUCUGCCUGAACCUCAGUCUCCCACUCUGGACGUUGUCGGGGUGAUGGAGCAAGCAUUCAGUUAUUCUCUGCUGGAUUCUGAUGUGGUCUAAAGUCCACACUUUGUUGUGAAACACCGCAAUCUGUGAUGUACAGAACCUAUUACUGCGGCCACCCAGGAAUGCUGGGGGCAGGCCUUUUGAGAAGGUGAAUCAGCGUGUGUUAGCUCAGGGCAGAGGGCCUGGCGGUGAGACGUGAGAACAGCCAAUGUCAUGGCGGUGGGGGAGUGGACGUGAGCCAUCUGGGGCCCAGCAAACAGCAUGUUGAAAAAAACGAGGAACUCAAAGGCAGAUGAGCCUACCACGCUGGGAACAGUUGGGAGUACAUUGCUCAAGGGCUUGGAAUGGAGGGGGUGGAGUUGAGGAGAUCACAGAGGACCUAGGAGUGUGUGUAUCGGAGAGAGAUAGGAAACCACUGACCGUUCAGCACACAUUCAGAAUUACUGCCUGUCCCAGGGAGGGACCCACAGCUCCGGCGCUCCGUUCAGCAUCUGGAAGAGCAUAGCUCGCUGUGAGCGGCCGCCCCAGAAGACUGUAUCCCACCCAGCCAGCUCUCCUGCCUGCUUGCCUCUGCCCCACACCAGGACACUUCAUACUGUCAGAACCACUGGGUGUGUGAGCUUGUGAGAGGGUGUGUGGGCACACAUGUCCCUGUGUGGGGUGUGGAGGUCAGAGGGCAACUUGGAGGAAUUGGUUCUCUCCUUCCACCACUGGGGCCCAGGAAUCAAGCCGAGGUUCCCAGACGUGGUAGCAGCCUCCCUUACCUGUUAAACCAGUGCUUCCCAGACUUCCUAAUGCUGUGACCUCAUGCUGUGCUGACCCCCGCCCAUGACAUUAUCUCUGUUGGUAUUUUAUAACUGUAAUUUUGCUACUAUUAUGAAUCACAAUGUAAA